CAUAGACCACCACAUCAUCCAUCAAGUACAAGUGGAUCAUACUCACCAUCUGCAUCUAGAGCUAUUUCUGACUCUUCUCCUCCAUGGUAGUCAAUUUUUCUCGCAUAAGAGAGCAUCAAUUAAUCCUUAUUGGAUGAGCACAUCCUUCACCCUCGCUUGCCAUAGGAGAAAAUUGCUCUUCCUAUCAUAUCGAUUGAUCUCUACCUUAAUUAAGCAUGUCUUCUCCAUCUUCGUCAACCUCAAUCAGUACUACCAUAAUCUGGACAAUCCUAAACUCUAAUAUUACUUGUUGGGAAGAUCCCUUAUGAGUACAGAGUAUGGAUCCCUCGCCCA
rnacentral:lncRNA from 1 species